rnacentral:rRNA from 1 species
AACCUUUAAAACUUUCAACAACGGAUCUCUUGGUUCUGGCAUCGAUGAAGAACGCAGCGAAAUGCGAUAAGUAGUGUGAAUUGCAGAAUUCAGUGAAUCAUCGAAUCUUUGAACGCACAUUGCGCCCUUUGGUAUUCCUUAGGGCAUGCCUGUUCGAGCGUCAUUUAAACCCUCAAGCUCUGCUUGGUGUUGGGCGCCUGUCCCGCCUCUGGCGUGGACUCGCCUCGAAGAUAUUGGCGGUUGUUGCAUUGACCGGAUGCGCAGUAAAAACGCGCUGGUACUGGCUUGAUGCCUUCCUCCAGGAAGCUAAACCUCUCAUCUUGACCUCGGAUCAGGUAGGGAUACCCGCUGAACUUAAGCAUAUCAAUAAGCGGAGGA